CGUUCUCGGGCCUUGUACACACCGCCCGUCACACCACGGAAGCCGGUAACACCCGAAGUCGGUGUCCUAACCCGCAAGGGAAGGAGCCGCCGAAGGUGGGAUUGGUGACUGGGGUG
rnacentral:rRNA from 1 species